AAGGCCGCCGGCCUAAUUACGUGCCAGCAAGCCGCGGGUAAUAGGUAGGGCGGCAAGGCGGUUAUCCCGGAAAUUAUUGGGGCGGUAAAGAGCUUCGUAGGCGGUUGUCGCGUCUGCCCGUGAAAGUCCCGGGGCUCAAACUCCGGAUCUGCGGUGGGUACGGGCAGACUAGAGUGAUGUAGGGGAGACUGGAAUUCCUGGUGUAGCGGUGAAAUGCGCAGAUAUCAGGAGGAACACCGAUGGCGAAGGCAGGUCUCUGGGCAUUAACUGACGCUGAGGAGCGAAAGCAUGGGGAGCGAACAGGAUUAGAUACCCCUGGUAGUCCAUGCCGUAAACGUUGGGCACUAGGUGUGGGGGACAUUCCACGUUUUCCGCGCCGUAGCUAACGCAUUAAGUGCCCCGCCUGGGGAGUACGGCCGCAAGGCUAAAACUCAAAGGAAUUGACGGGGGCCCGCACAAGCGGCGGAGCAUGCGGAUUAAUUCGAUGCAACGCGAAGAACCUUACCAAGGCUUGACAUGGACUGGAAAUACCUGGAAACAGGUGCCCCGCUUGCGGUCGGUUCACAGGUGGUGCAUGGUUGUCGUCAGCUCGUGUCGUGAGAUGUUGGGUUAAGUCCCGCAACGAGCGCAACCCUCGUUCUAUGUUGCCAGCGCGUGAUGGCGGGGACUCAUAGGAGACUGCCGGGGUCAACUCGGAGGAAGGU
rnacentral:rRNA from 1 species